CCUACGGGGGGCAGCAGUGGGGAAUAUUGCACAAUGGGGGAAACCCUGAUGCAGCGACGCCGCGUGAGUGAAGAAGUAAUUCGUUACGUAAACCUCUAUCAGCAGGGAAGAAACACUGACCUUACGGUCAGCAGACGGUACCUGAGUAAGAAGCCCCGGCUAACUACGUGCCAGCAGCCGCGGUAAUACGUAGGGGGCAAGCGUUAUCCGGAUAUACUGGGUGUAAAGGGAGCGUAUACGGUGCGCCAAGUCUGGAGGGAAAUGCCGCAGCUUAACUGCGGAACUGCUUUGGAAACUGGCGAAUUAGAGGGCGGGAAGGGUAAGGGGAAUUCCUAGUGUAGCGGUGAAAUGCGUAGAUAAUA
rnacentral:rRNA from 1 species